rnacentral:tRNA from 1 species
GUCAGGAUAGCUCAGUUGGUAGAGCAGAGGACUGGA